rnacentral:lncRNA from 1 species
GCGCGAGAGGGUUGUAGGACACAAAAAUGAUAUGGCACUGGACUUAUGGGACAAACAUAAGAACACUCGAAACUAAGGGUAGAUGUGAACCUAACGGUAUACCUGAAGCUUUGAUUACCACUUCAUGAGAACAAGGGUGGCCCGAUCUUCCCAAAGGUUCUGUUAACUCUCGAUUUGGUGGAGACGAGACACAAAUCGAUCCGGCUUCCGAACAACACGAUCCGAAACCCUGCAAUUUUUUUUUAUUUUUUUGAUAUUUUUCUUUUACUUAGGUGCAUUAAAGAAGUAACCACAGAAAAUAUGAGCUUAAACAAGUGAAAGACGUGGCCUGCGGAAUUUUCUAAAUUUUGUGAAAAUGUGAAAAAAACUUCACGAGGUGAAAACUUAAACUUCGGAGGCGUAUUUGGAAAUUCUAAAAUUUUCAAACCCGCUAGUGGUAGGGACAGGUAGAGCCGAAAUUUUUUUCUGAUUGAUUUUGAUAUAUGGAACGUUGAAAUCGGAGUUUGUACGCGAAUGUUAUGGCUAUUUUACGAACGGACUCCGAAUUAGAGAACAAAACGGUCCGAAAGUGGGAAAAAUUUGCGGCGAUGGCUAGAAAUUGAUGAAAACGGUGGGGAAAAACAUACUAACUGAACUCUAACAAGACCUAACCAGCAACAACCUCGAUCAGGACACAAACUCAAAACUGCGGACUCUCAAUCUAAAAUAUGUAAAAGCUAUGGCGCGGAAGGGUUGUAGAACAGGAAAACAAUAUGGCACUGGACUUAUGGGACGAACACAAGAACACUAGAAACUAAGAGUAGAUGUGAACCUAGCGGUAUACCUAAAGCUUUGAUUACCACUUGAUGAGAACAAGGGUGGCCCGAUCUUACGAAAAGUUAUGUUAACUCUCGAUUUGGUGGAGACGAGACACAAAUCGAUACAGCUUCUGAACAACACGAUCCGAAACCCUAUAUUUUUUUUAUUUUUUUGAUAUUUUUAUUUUACUUAGGAGUGCUAAAGGAGUAACCACAGAAAAUUUGAGCUUAAGCAAGUGAAAGACAUGGCCUGUGGAAUUUUCUGAAGAUUGUGAAAAAUGUGAAAAAACUUCACGUAUUGGAAACUCAAACUUCGAAGGCGAAUUUUAGGAUUCUAAAAGUGUCAAACCCGCGAAACUUAGGGACAACCAGAUCUGAAAUUUUUUUCUGAUCGAUUUUGAUAUAUGAAACAUUGAAAUCGGAGUUCGUAUGCGAAAGUUAUGGCUGUUUUACGAACAGACUUCGAAUUAGAGGACAAAACGGUCCGAAAGUGGAAAAAUUUUGCGCCGGUGGCCAGAAAUUGAUGGAAACGGUGCGGAAAACACAUGAACUGGACUCUAACAAGACCUAACCAGCAACAAGACCUCGACUAGGACACAAACUCAACACUGCGGACUCUGAAACUGAAAUAUGCAAAGGCAAUGGCGCGGAAGGGUUGUAGGAAAGGAAAACUAUAUAGCACUGGACUUAUGGAACGAACACAAGAACACUCAAAACUAAGGCUAGAUGUGAACCUAAUGGUAUAUAUGAAGCUUUGAUUACCAUUUGAUGAGAACAAGGGUGGCACGAUCUUCUGAAAGGUUCUAGUAACUCUCGAUUUGGUGAAGACGAGACACAAAUCGAUAUGGCUUCCGAACAACACGAUCCGAAACCCCGCAUUUUUUUUAUUUUUUUAAUAUUUUCCUUUUACUUAGGAGCACUAAAGAAGUAACCACAGAAAAUUUGAACUUAAUCGAGUAAAAGACGUGGGCUGCGGAAUUUUGUGAAGAUUACACAAAAUGUGAAAAAAACUUCACAAGGUGAAAACUCAAACUUCGAAGACGAAUUUGGAGAUUCUAAAAUUUUCAAACCCCCUAAAACCGAGGACAGACAGACACUAUAUUUUUUCUGAUCGAUUUUGAUAUAUGGAACAUUGAAAUCGAAGUUUGUAUGUGAAAGUUAUGGCUGUUUUACGAACGGACUCCGAAUUAGAGGACAAAACGGUCCGAAAGUGGGAAAAUUUUGCGGCGGUGGCAAGAAAUUGAUGGAAACGGUGGGGAAAACACAUGAACUGGACUCUAACAAGACCUAACCAGCAACAAGACCUCGACCAGAACACAAACUCAACACUGCGGACUCUGAAACUGAAAUAUGCAAAGGUUAUGGCGCGGAAGGGUUGUAGGACAGGAAAACGAUAUGGCACUGGACUUAUGGGACGAACACAAGAACACUCAAAACUAAGGGUAGAUGUGAACCUAACGGUAUACCUGAAGCUUUGAUUACCACUUGAUAAGAACAAGGAUGGUCCGAUCUUCUGAAAGGUUCUGGUAACUCUUGAUUUGGUGGAGACGAGACAUAAAUUGAUCCGGCUUCCGAACAACACGAUCCGAAACCCUGCAAAUUUUUUAUUUUUUUGAUAUUUUUCUAUUACUUAGGUGCACUAAAGAAGUAACCAUAGAAAAUUUGAGCUUAAACAAGUGAAAGACGUGGCCUGCAGAAUUUUGUGAAGAUUACAAAAAAUGUGAAAAAAACUUCACAAGGUGAAAACUCAAAAUUCGAAGACGAAUUUGGAGAUUCUAAAAUUUUCAAACCCCCUAAAACCGAGGACAGACAGACACUAUAUUUUUUCUCAUCGAUUUUGAUAUAUGGAACAUUGAAAUCGAAGUUUGUAUGUGAAAGUUAUGGCUGUUUUACGAACGGACUCCGAAUUAGAGGACAAAACGGUCCGGAAGUGGGAAUAAUUUGUGGUGGUGGCUAGAAAUUGAUGGAAAUGGUGGGCAAAAACAUACCAACUAGACUCUAACAAGACCUAACCAGCAACAUCCUCGACCAGGACACAAACUUAAAAUUGCGGACUCUGAAACUGAAAUAUGCAAAGGCUAUUGCGCGGAAGGGUUGUAGGACAAGAAAACGAUAUGGCACUGGACUUAUGGGACGAAUACAAGAACACUCGAAACUAAGGGUAGAUGUGAACCUAACGGUAUACCUGAAGCUUUAUUACCACUUGAUGAAAUCAAGGGUGGCCCGAUCUUUCGACAGGUUCUGGUAACUCUCGAUUUGGUGGAGACGAGACAUAAAUCAAUGCGGCUUCCAAACAACGCGAUCUGAAACCCUGCAAUUUUUUUAUUUUAUUGAUAUUUUUAUUUUACUUAGGAGCAUUAAAGAAGUAACCAUAGAAAAUUUGAGCUUAAACAAGUAAAUGACGUGGCCUGCUGAAUUUUCUGAAGAUUGCGAAAAAUGUGAAAAAAACUUCACAAGGUGAAAACUCAAACUUCGGAGGUGAAUUUGGAGAAUCUAAAACUUUCAAAGCCGCAAAUAGCAGUGACAGACAGAUCCGAAUUUUUUUGAUCGAUUUUGAUAUAUCGAACAUUGAAAUCGGAGUUUGUAUGUGCAAGUUAUGGCUGUUUUACGAACGGACUCCGAAUUAGAGGACAAAACGGUCCGAAAGUGGGAAAAACUUGCAGCGAUGGCUAGAAACUGAUGGAAACGUUGGGGAAAAAACACGAACUGAACUCUAACAAGACCUAACCAGCAACAAGACCUCGACCAGGACACAAACUCAAAACUGCAGACUCGGAAACUGAAAUAUGCAAAGGCUAUGGCGCGGAAGGGUUGUAGGACACAAAAACGAUAUGGCACUGGACUUAUGGGACGAACACAAGAACACUCGAAACUAAGGGUAGAUGUGAACCUAAAUAUAUACCUGAAGCUUUGAUUACUACUUGAUGAGAACAAGGGUGGCCCGAUCUUCCGAAAGGUUCUGUUAACUCUCGAUUUAGUGGAGACGAGACACAAAUCGAUCCGGCUUCCGAACAACACGAAGGCAAACCCUGCAAUUUUUUUAUUUUUUUAUGUUUUUCUUUUACUUAGGUGCACUAAAGAAGUAACCACAGAAAAUUUGAGCUUAAACAAGUGAAAGACGUGGCUUGCAGAAUUUUCUAUAGAUUGUGAAAAAUGUGAAAAAAACUUCACGAGGUGAAAACUUAAACUUCGGAGGUGUAUUUGGAAGUUCUAAAUUUUUCAAACCCGCUUGUGGUAGGGACAGGCAAACCCGAAAUUUUUUCUGAUUGAUUUUGAUAUAUGGAACGUUGAAAUCGGAGUUCGUACGCGAAUGUUAUGGCUAUUUUACAAACGAACUGCGAAUUAGAGUACAAAACGGUCCGAAAGUGGGAAAAAUUUGCGGCGGUGCCCAGAAAUUGAUGGAAACGGUGGGGAAAAACAUACUAACUGGACUCUAACAAGACCUAACCAGCAACAACCUCGACCAGGACACAAACUCAAAACAACGGACUCUGAAUCUGAAAUAUGGAAAAGCUAUGGCGCGGAAGGGUUGUAGAACAGGAAAACAAUAUGGCACUGGACUCAUGGGACGAACAUAAGAACACAAGAAACUAAGGGUAGAUGUGAACCUAACGGUACACCUAAAGCUUUGAUUACCACUUGAUGAGAACAAGGGUGGCCCGAUCUUCCGAAAGGUUUUGGUAACUCUCGAUUUGGUGGAGAUGAGACACAAAUCGAUACGGCUUAUGAACAACACGAUCCGAAACCCUACAUUUUUUUUAUUUUUUUGAUAUUUUUAUUUUACUUAGGAGCACUAAAGGAGUAACCACAGAAAAUUUGAGCUUAAACAAGUGAAAGACAUGGCCUGUUGAAUUUCUCAAGAUUGUGAAAAAUGUGAAAAGAACUUCACGUAUUGGAAACUCAAACUUCGGAGGCGAAUUUCAAGAUUCUAAAAUUGUCAAACACGCAAAAGUGAGGGACAAACAUAUCUCAAAUUUUUUCUUAUCGAUUUUGAUAUAUGGAACGUUGAAAUCGGAGUUCGUAUGCGAAAGUUAUGGCUGUUUUACGAACAGACUCCGAAUUAGAGGACAAAACGAUCCGAAAGUGGGAAUAAUUCGCGGUGGUGGCUAGAAAUUGAUGGAAAUGGUGGGGAAAAACAUACGAACUAGACUCUAACAAGACCUAACCAGCAACAUCCUCGACCAAGACACAAACUCAAAAUUGCGGACUCUGAAACUGAAAUAUGCAAAGGCUAUUGCGCGGAAGGGUUGUAGAACAAGAAAACGAUAUGGCACUGGACUUAUGGGACGAAUACAAGAACACUCGAAACUAAGUGUAGAUGUGAACCUAACGGUAUACCUGAAGCUUUAUUACCACUUGAUGAGAUCAAGGGUGGCCCGAUCUUUCGACAGGUUCUGGUAACUCUCGAUUUGGUGGAGACGAGACACAAAUCAAUGCGGCUUCCAAACAACGCGAUCUGAAACCCUGCAAUUUUUUUAUUUUAUUGAUAUUUUUAUUUUACUUAGGAGCAUUAAAGAAGUAACCAUAAAAAAUUUGAGCUUAAACAAGUAAAAGACGUUUCCUGCAGAAUUUUCUGAAGAUCGCAAAAAAUGUGAAAAAAACAUCACAAGGUGAAAACUGAAACUUCGGAGGUGAAUUUGGAGAUUCUAAAACUUUCAAACCCGUAAAUAGCAGUAACAGACAGAUCCGAAUUUUUUUGAUCGAUUUUGAUAUAUGGAACAUUAAAAUCGGAGUUUGUAUGUGCAAGUUAUAGCUGUUUUACGAACGGACUCUGAAUCAGAGGACAAAACGGUCCGAAAGUGGGAAAAAGUUGCAGCGAUGGCUAGAAAUUGAUGGAAACGUUCGGAAAAAAACACGAACUAGACUCUAACAAGACCUAACCAGCAACAAGUCCUCGACCAGGACACAAACUCAAAACUGCAGACUCGGAAACUGAUAUAAAAAGGCUAUGGCGCGGAAGGGUUGUAGGACACAAAAACGAUAUGGCACUGGACUUAUGGGACGAACACAAGAACACUCGAAACUAAGGGUAGAUGUGAACCUAACGGUAUACCUGAAGCUUCGAUUACCACUUGAUGAGAACAAGGGUGGCCGGAUCUUCUGAAAGGUUCUGUUAACUCUCGAUUUGGUGGAGACGAGACACAAAUCGAUCCGGCUUCCGAACAACACGAAGGCAAACCCUGCAAUUUUUUUUAUUUUUUUGAUAUUUUUCUUUUACUUAGGUGCACUAAAGAAGUAACCACAGAAAAUUUGAGCUUAAUCAAGUGAAAGACGUGGCCUGCAGAAUUUUGUAAAGAUUGUGAAAAAUGUGAAAAAAAACUUCACAAGGUGAUAACUUAAACUUCGGAGGUGUAUUUGGAAAUUUUAAAAUUUUCAAUCCCGCUAGUGGUAGGGACAGGCAAACCCGAAAUUUUUUCUGAUUGAUUUUGAUAUAUGGAACAUUGAAAUCGGAGUUCGUACGCGAAUGUUAUGGCUAUUUUACGAACAGACUCCGAAUUAGAGAACAAAACGGUCCGAAAGUGGGAAAAAUUUGCGGCGGUGGCUAGAAAUUGAUGGAAACCUGCGGACUUUGAAUGUGAAAUAUGCAAAAGCUAUGGCGCGGAAGGGUUGUAGAAUAGGAAAAUAAUAUGGCACUGGACUUAUGGGACGAACACAAGAACACUCGAAACUAAGGGUAGAUGUGAACCUAACGGUAUACCUAAAGCUUUGAUUACCACUUGAUGAGAACAAGGAUGGCCCGAUCUUCCGAAAGGUUCUGGUAACUCUCGAUUUGGUGGAGACGAGACACAAAUCGAUACGGCUUCUGAACAACACAAUCUGAAACCCUUCAUUUUUUUAUUUUUUUGAUAUUUUUAUUUUACUUAGGAGCACUAAAGGAGUAACCACAUAAAAUUUGAGCUUAAACAAGUGAAAGACAUGGCCUGUGGAAUUUCUGAAGAUUGUGAAAAAUGUGAAAAGAACUUCACGUAUUGGAAACUCAAACUUCGGAGGCGAAUUUCAGGAUUCUAAAGUGGUCAAACCCGCGAAAGUUAGGGACAAACAGACCUGAAAUUUUUUUCUGAUCGAUUUUGAUAUAUGGAACGUUGAAAUCGGAGUUCGUAUGCAAAAGUUAUGGCUGUUUUACGAACAGACUCCGAAUUAGAGGACAAAACGGUCCGAAAGUGGGAAAAAUUUGCGGCGGUGGCUAGAAAUUGAUGGAAACGGUGGGGAAAACACAUGAACUGGACUCUAACAAGACCUAACCAGCAACAAGACCUCGACCAGGACACAAACUCAACACUGCGGACUCUGAAACUGAAAUAUGCAAAGGCUAUGGCGUGGAAGGGUUGUAGGAUGGAAAAACGAUAUGGCACUGGACUUAUGGGACGAACACAACACUCAAAACUAAGGGUAGAUGUGAACCUAAUGGUAUACCUGAAGCUUUGAUUACCACUUGAUGAGAACAAGGGUGGCCCGAUCUUCUGAAUGGUUCUGGUAACUCUCGAUUUGGUGAAGACGAGACACAAAUCGAUCUGGCUUCCGAACAACACGAUCCGAAAUCCCGCAUUUUUUUAUUUUUUUAAUAUUUUCCUUUUACUUAGGAGCACUAAAGAAGUAACCAUAGAAAAAUUGAGCUUAAACAAGUAAAAGACGUGGCCUGCGGAAUUUUGUGAAGAUUACAAAAAAUGUGAAAAAAACUUCACAAG